rnacentral:rRNA from 1 species
UACGUAGGGUGCAAGCGUUGUCCGGAAUUAUUGGGCGUAAAGAGCUCGUAGGCGGUUUGUCGCGUCUGCUGUGAAAACUCGGGGCUUAACCCCGGGCCUGCAGUGGGUACGGGCAGACUAGAGUGCGGUAGGGGAGACUGGAAUUCCUGGUGUAGCGGUGAAAUGCGCAGAUAUCGGGAGGAACACCUAUGGCGAAGGCAGCUCGCUGGGACGUUACUGACGCUGAGACGCGAAAGCGUGGGGAGCAAACAGG